AGUGAACGCUGGCGGUAGGCCUAACACAUGCAAGUCGAACGGCAGCACAGGAGAGCUUGCUCUCUGGGUGGCGAGUGGCGGACGGGUGAGGAAUACAUCGGAAUCUACUCUGUCGUGGGGGAUAACGUAGGGAAACUUACGCUAAUACCGCAUACGACCUACGGGUGAAAGCAGGGGAUCUUCGGACCUUGCGCGAUUGAAUGAGCCGAUGUCGGAUUAGCUAGUUGGCGGGGUAAAGGCCCACCAAGGCGACGAUCCGUAGCUGGUAUGAGAGGAUGAUCAGCCACACUUGAACUGAGACACGGUCCAGACUCCUACGGGAGGCAGCAGUGGGGAAUAUUGGACAAUGGGCGCAAGCCUGAUCCAGCCAUACCGCGUGGGUGAAGAAGGCCUUCGGGUUGUAAAGCCCUUUUGUUGGGAAAGAAAUCCAGCUGGUUAAUACCCGGUUGGGAUGACGGUACCCAAAGAAUAAGCACCGGCUAACUUCGUGCCAGCAGCCGCGGUAA
rnacentral:rRNA from 1 species